CCUACGGGAGGCAGCAGUGGGGAAUAUUGCACAAUGGGCGCAAGCCUGAUGCAGCCAUGCCGCGUGUGUGAAGAAGGCCUUCGGGUUGUAAAGCACUUUCAGCGGGGAGGAAGGCGGUGAGGUUAAUAACCUCAUCGAUUGACGUUACCCGCAGAAGAAGCACCGGCUAACUCCGUGCCAGCAGCCGCGGUAAUACGGAGGGUGGCAAACGUUAAUCGGAAUUACUGGGCGUAAAGCGCACGCAGGCGGUCUGUCAAGUCGGAUGUGAAAUCCCCGGGCUCAACCUGGGAACUGCAUUCGAAACUGGCAGGCUAGAGUCUUGUAGAGGGGGGUAGAUUUCCAGGUGUAGCGGUGAAAUGCGUAGAGAUCUGGAGGAAUACCGGUGGCGAAGGCGGCCCCCUGGACAAAGACUGACGCUCAGGUGCGAAAGCGUGGGGAGCAAACAGGAUUAGAUACCCCUGUAGUC
rnacentral:rRNA from 1 species